rnacentral:rRNA from 1 species
UACGAAGGGGGCUAGCGUUGCUCGGAAUCACUGGGCGUAAAGCGCACGUAGGCGGAUUGCUAAGUCAGGGGUGAAAUCCUGGAGCUCAACUCCAGAACUGCCUUUGAUACUGGCGAUCUCGAGUCCGGGAGAGGUGAGUGGAACUCCGAGUGUAGAGGUGAAAUUCGUAGAUAUUCGGCAAGAACACCAGUGGCGAAGGCGGCUCACUG